CAGUAGCCGCGGUAAUACAGAGGGUGCGAGCGUUAAUCGGAUUUACUGGGCGUAAAGCGUGCGUAGGCGGCUUCUUAAGUCGGAUGUGAAAUCCCUGAGCUUAACUUAGGAAUUGCAUUCGAUACUGGGAAGCUAGAGUAUGGGAGAGGAUGGUAGAAUUCCAGGUGUAGCGGUGAAAUGCGUAGAGAUCUGGAGGAUUACCGAUGGCGAAGGCAGCCAUCUGGCCUAAUACUGACGCUGAGGUACGAAAGCAUGGGGAGCAAACAGGAUUAGAUACCCCUGUAGUCCCUGUCUCUUAUAA
rnacentral:rRNA from 1 species